rnacentral:rRNA from 1 species
UAGGGAAUCUUCGGCAAUGGACGAAAGUCUGACCGAGCAACGCCGCGUGAGUGAAGAAGGUUUUCGGAUCGUAAAACUCUGUUGUUAGAGAAGAACAAGGACGUUAGUAACUGAACGUCCCCUGACGGUAUCUAACCAGAAAGCCACGGCUAACUACGUGCCAGCAGCCGCGGUAAUACGUAGGUGGCAAGCGUUGUCCGGAUUUAUUGGGUGUAAAGCGAGCGCAGGCGGUUUCUUAAGUCUGAUGUGAAAGCCCCCGGCUCAACCGGGGAGGGUCAUUGGAAGCUGGGAGACUUGAGUGCAGAAGAGGAGAGUGGAAUUCCAUGUGUAGCGGUGAAAUGCGUAGAUAUAUGGGGGAAGAACAGUGGCGAAGGCGGCUCUCUGGUCUGUAACAGACGCUGAGGCUCGAAAGCAUGGGGAGCAAACAGG